CAUUAUCAACUUGAAAAGGUUUCAUUCUCUUUACCAAGGACUCAGAACUUUACAACUACAUUUUAUCUGACUGGCAUGUUACUGUCAACUACAUAUGAAGCAAUAUUUGCUGACUCACUAUUAUGUAAUGGAGUCUCACUCCCAGCCAUAACAGUUUGCAGUAUCUAUUACAUUCAGUAAACAGUGUUGACUGUUGGACUGGUAGAUACCAGGAACUCUUAAACUCUUGACUUUUGGGCUGCUGACGUUUCUUAGUGAAUGUUUGUAUAUAAUUGGUGCUUUGUUUUGGUUUGACAACUUACAGUGGAGUUCAAGAUCUCUUAUCUGCAGAAUUUUUAUCAAAAUGGCACAAACAGUUCUCAUAUUAAACAGAGGCUUUUCAACUUCACCAUCAGCCAUGACAGCAAUAAAACAUGUCACUGUUAUUGGAGGUGGCAUCAUGGGAUCUGGAAUUGCUCAGGUUGCUGCACAGUCUGGAUAUCAAGUAACUCUUGCUGAAAUUAAUGAAGGAGCUCUAGAGA